GUAGGGAAUAUUGGUCAAUGGGCGCAAGCCUGAACCAGCCAUGCCGCGUGCAGGAAGACGGUCCUAUGGAUUGUAAACUGCUUUUAUUUGGGAAUAAACUCCGGUACGUGUACCGGCCUGAAGGUACCAAAUGAAUAAGCACCGGCUAACUCCGUGCCAGCAGCCGCGGUAAUACGGAGGGUGCAAGCGUUAUCCGGAAUCAUUGGGUUUAAAGGGUCCGCAGGCGGUCUUAUAAGUCAGUGGUGAAAGCCUACAGCUCAACUGUAGAACUGCCAUUGAUACUGUAGGACUUGAAUUCGAUCGAAGUGGGCGGAAUGUGACCUGUAGCGGUGAAAUGCUUAGAUAUGUCACAGAACACCGAUAGCGAAGGCAGCUCACUAGGUCUGGAUUGACGCUCAGGGACGAAAGCGUGGGGAGCAAACAGGAUUAGAUACCCGGGUAGUCC
rnacentral:rRNA from 1 species